CUGUCAAUGAGGAAGUGAGGACCCUCACCAAAUACCAAAUCCAACAGCAGCGUGAUCUUGGACUUCCUAGCCUUCAGAACUGUGAACUAAAGUGGAACAGAGUUCCUGGACCCCAGCUGGGAUUUCACUGUUGCCCCUCUGGAAACAUCUUCCCUGGAGAUUAAGCCUAUGGGAGAAGAGUCUUAGUGGACUUCACCAGGACUACACUUCCUUUGCCCCCUCCGUGGGGCCAAGGGGAACUUCCUCCAGAUCCUCCCUGAUCCACCCUACGAGAGCUUGGUGUACUUCCUGGAAGAAAAUUUUGCUUAUGAAUGGAGACCUCCAGGACCUUCUCACUCUUAUGCUGUCCCACACUUAGCCUCCAACAAUUUAUCAAAAUUUCUAGUUUAAUAUUCCACAAACAUCUGCUUCAGGCGAGGGAAACUUUCUCAUCAGGGACGUCUUAACUGGACAAUCCAGGCUUGGACCUCAGCAGAGGGUCAUUGCUAGGGGACAGAGAAAUAAGACCUCCUACAGUCAGUACUUCCCUUGAUGGCGGUGAAUGACCAGGAGUGGACAAAAUAAGGGUGCUUCCCAAAGUGUUCUGAAGAACAGCAGUCCUUUGACGUACUCUAAAAAGACCAACUUCUCAGUCAAUAUGCAGAUUUCUCGAAAAACUAAAAAUGGAACUACCACAGAUUCCAGCUAUUCCACUACUGGGUAUUUCUCCAAAGAACAUGAAAUCAACAAUUUAAAGAGACUUAUGCACCCCUAUGUUCAUUGCAGCGUUAUUCAUAAUAGCCAAGAUGUGGAAACAACCCAAGUGCCUAUCAACUGAUGAUUGGAUAAAGAAGAUGUGGUGUGUAGAUAUAUACAAUGGAAUACUACUUAACCAUAAAAAAGACAAAAUUGUCCCAUUUGCAACAACAGGGACAGACCUUGAGGCUAUUAUGCUAAGUGAAAUAAGUUAGAGAAAGACAAACACCAUAUCAUUUCACUGGUGAAAAAACAAGUAUCUGCAGGUGAAGCAUCUUGGUCAAGUCCCCACGGGAAAGGAGAGCUAAAAUCCAGUCUGAGUUUUCCGACGUCAGAGCCCGUACUUCUAACUUCUCUGCUAUGGAUGUUCCAUAAUUUAGUUAUAAAAAUGCUUAUUGAUAAACAGAGGCUGGACGUGUUGCAGCUGAAGCCCAAUAAGCUUGGAUUAUAGCUGUUAGGGUCAAGUCUAUUGUCCAUUGUCAGUCUUCCUAUUGGAAAUAUUUCGAACGUGCAGAUCUUAAUCUGGAGCACUCAUGAACCAUAUUCCUACGAGCGUUGCUUGCUCCAACACCUUCGGCAGAAUGAUUGGGCCAUGAACAGAUAAGUGGAAAUGGCUCAUCUUGCUCUUCUCCAAGAUGCUUUCUGUCUCUCUUUGUUUUCUCUGUGACUACAGCCUCUGGGUUUUAUCCUUUUCUUAUAGCAACCUGGAGGGAAUCUUGUAAGUCCAACUUGAAAUGAGUCAUUGGACAGCAGCACUGGAGGCAGUGAAACGUCCCACGUAAAGCUGAUAUCUCUUCAGUCUGCAAAGCUAAGGAAUCACCACCUGUUUACUCAUUCCGUGAUCACUAUUGUAUAAGCUACAUAAACUACGAGGAGGAGAAAUGGGGUCUGGAAGUUCUUUUACAACAUGUAUAUAACUUAGUUUAUUAUUAGCACCUGGAAGGCAUCUCAAUCAGUAUUCAUUCCUUUGAAACUUUUAAGUUGAGAAAUAUUUCUCUUUUAUGAAAGGGAACAUUUUAGGGAAGAUCAGCAGUUCUCCAGCUAGUGUGGAUAACACAGAGAUACUAAGUGGAGGAAGCUCGUGUGCAGCAAGAAGAAGAGGAUGCUUCCAGGUCCCGCCUGCCGUGAGGACGCUGCAGCAAACACAGGGGCACAGAUGUCCUUUCCAAUUAGUGUCUUCACAGUCUUUGGAUAAACACCCAGAAGUGGAAUAGCUGGAUUAUGUGGUAGUUGUAUUCUUAAUUGUUUGAGGAAUCUCCUUACUGUUUCAUCUGAAAUUUAUAGAACGUUAUAAAUCAAUGUUACCUCAAUAAAAUUAAAAAAUAAAUUUUAAAAAAA
ensembl:lncRNA